GUCAUUGCAGGUGCCUAGAGAAAUGCAUAGAGUCCUUGCUCCCCACAAUGAUGAAUUCUUCGAGGAAGUCAAAAUGUGAUGGGAGGAUUGCUGUGCCAGGGUCAUUUUACGGAGUAUGAAAGAAGGCAAUAAAGCCACUAAUCAACAGGGAUAAAAGUAAGUUUGCCUUUUGAUACAUGUAGUUAGAUGCUUGAAUGCUUCUUCUCAAAAAAACACUUUGUUCUAUGUGUUUCUUCUUCAAGAAGAACAAUUCAAUUUAUUGUGUUUCAGUGGAAGCCAACUUUGCUCUGGUGAAGGCCCUUCCCAUUCUCUUUCCCUCGGUGGCACAUCCAUCAAAGAAACUGGGAUGUGCUAGUGAAGCUUUACUGCAUGUUCAGGAGUCAACAGAAGAUCCAAACGUCUUCAUCCAGAAGAGAGGCCUGUCAAGUCCAGUCUUGGUGUUCGAUGGCUGUAGAUGAAUCGUUGCUAUUGGUUUGAUGCCAGUGACGUUUGAAAAAGAAAAGCUUCACGAGGGUCUGAUUUUCUAAAUGGCAUAUUUUUACACACUACAUCUGACCUACACAAAAUGCGUGGCCACCCUUCUGUCAUUCAGACAGAUCCUUCAGGAUACAAUUCACAAGCGGGACAUCACCACCACAUGAAAGAGCAUUAAAGUAAAGAAUUUGUUGGAAAAUGAACUGCUUUUGCAGUUCAAUGUUUAUGUCUGUUCUUUAGAUGAGUAUUCUAAUUGUGUUGUUAAAGAAACUGUUGUAUUCCUAGAAAAUUUGGGUACAUUUGUAACACAAAUCUCAGUUUGUACGUUGAAUAAAAGAAUUGAAAAGUGAAUUUGUUUUCAUUCUUUUUAGUAUUGAAACAAGAAAAAAUAUCUUUUGCAACUGCUUGUUUCAAGAUUUAUUUUCUGAAUUUUAGUGGGCAAUACAUUUUAAUCAAGCUCCUAUAUCCUAGUUUCUAGUUUUUUUGUCUUAAAUUACUGCUUAAAAUAAGUGUUUUUGCCUAAUUUCAAGAUUUAACCAAUUUACUAUGGCUUAGAUAUUUUUACUUAAAUCAAGACAUCUUGUUAAGUAAAAUUUACUAGCUGCACUGGCAGAUAAUUUGACUUAUUUCUCGUCAAUUUCUACUAAAAGCAAGUACUUUUUUCUAGAAUUAAGAUGGUGGUUUUUUGCAGUGUAUUAGGUUUCUGAUAUAAAUUAUAAUUGUCUGUUAUUCAAAUUACAUGUUUUGUGUGCAAUUAG
rnacentral:lncRNA from 1 species